rnacentral:rRNA from 1 species
UACGUAGGGUGCGAGCGUUAAUCGGAAUACUGGGCGUAAAGCGCGCGUAGGCGGCUUUGUAAGUCAGAGGUGAAAUCCCGGAGCUCAACUCCGGAACUGCCUUUGAGACUGCAUCGCUUGAAUCCGGGAGAGGUGAGUGGAAUUCCGAGUGUAGAGGUGAAAUUCGUAGAUAUUAGGAAGAACACCAGUGGCGAAGGCGGCUCACGUGGUCCGGUAC